AGAUGUGUAUUAGAGACAUGAAAUAUACUGCCCGAUUUUUCGGGUGAUGGUGGAAAGGUGCGGUAAGAGCGUACCAGAGUGCAGGAGACUGUACUGCUAUGUAAACUUUACCUGAUGCAACGUCUAUUGGUGCUUUAUAUCUUAACGUCUGCUCGGCGGAUAUGAAGUAACGACGGCUUGAACUUUCCGGCGACGGAAAGUCUAGAUAAAUUGCUGUACACGACAGAAUCCGGCUUAUCGGUCUGGUCAUAUU
rnacentral:RNase_P_RNA from 1 species